GGGAGCGUAACAAAUGUUGGUUUUUGUGCUCGACUUUUAAUCGAGAAAACGCGGGUUCGAUUCCUGUCGCUCCCACCA
rnacentral:tRNA from 1 species